rnacentral:lncRNA from 1 species
CUUAUCCAUAUUUGAUUAAAAAACUUCAAAUACGACCUCAAUAGUUUCACACUUUUUCACUUUAAUAUCCUAUAAUUUAAAAUAUAUCACUUUCAUAUCCUCUUAGUUUUAUUUUUUUUUAUUAUUUUCUCUACUAAUUUUUUUUGUUAAAACAAUGUCAAAAUUAAAACUAAAGAGUACUAAAGUGAAUAUUCGAUAAACUAUAGGCAGGACAUCUGAAGUUUUAUAUAAAUAAUUUAACGAAAAAUUAACAGAGGGACUGACGAAAAAAGAAAAAUAAAAUAACAGAAUACUAAACUGAUACACUUUAAACCACAUGAUACUAAAGUCAGAAAGCGCAUAACUACAGGAUUGGCAUUUGAAGUUUACUCUUGAUUCAUAGACAGAGGAAGGACCUCCUUUUCUAAAAAUAGCUCUUAUAUAAUUUAUAAUUUAUUACAUAACUCUAUCAAAAUUUUAUCCAAUCAUAUAAUCCUAUAUUUUGUCUAACUCCGUACCAAGAUAAAAGAAUAAGGGCCUGUUUGGAUAUACAGUAAAAUAUCUCCACGGAAUUUAUAAACUGUGGUUUCGGUCUAGAUAAAAUAGAGAAUCCUGUAACUCUAAAAAAUUCCACGGAUUCAAUUUUUAAACUGUUUGGAUACGCAUUGUACAAUUUCAUAGGAUUUUUCUAAAUUUUAAGAUUAAAAGUUAAAAUUUAAAAUUUAAAAUUUGAUAUGUGAAAUGUGAAAUUUUGAAUCUUGAAUUUUAAAUUUUAAAUUUUCAAAUUUGAAAUUUACAAAUUUAAAAUUUAAAAUUUAAAAAUCUAAAUUUAAUUUUUAAAUUUUUAAAUUUUUAAAUUUAAAAUUUUAAAAUAAAAAAUUUAAAAUUUAAAAUUUGAAAUUUGAAAUUUAGAUAAUUUUAAU